rnacentral:rRNA from 1 species
UACGUAGGGUGCAAGCGUUAAUCGGAAUUACUGGGCGUAAAGCGUGCGCAGGCGGUUUUUUAAGUUUGUCGUGAAAUCCCCGGGCUCAACCUGGGAAUGGCGAUGAAGACUGCAAGGCUAGAAUCUGGCAGAGGGGGGUAGAAUUCCACGUGUAGCAGUGAAAUGCGUAGAGAUGUGGAGGAACACCGGUGGCGAAGGCGACAUCCUGGACCGGUAUUGACGCUGAGGCGCGAAAGCCAGGGGAGCAAACGGG